GGCCCCACCGCCAUGGCGGACAGUGGCCCCGCGGGGGCCCCAGCAUUGACUGACUCGGGCCUGGGGCCAGGCAGUGCCAACACGGGGCCCCGAGUCAACUUCCAGAGUCCCCCUAGGACCCCAGGCGAAACCUCUGGCCCAGGGAACAACCCGGAUGAAGAUGGUCAGGUGAGACGGCCAGGGAAGAUCAUCGUCAAGUACAACCGCAAGGAGCUACGGAAGCGCCUCAACCUGGAGGAGUGGAUCUUAGAACAGCUCACGGGUCUCUACGACUGCAAGGAAGAGGAAAUCCCAGAGCUCGAGAUAAAUGUGGAUGAACUCUUGGACAUGGAAAGCGAUGAUACCCGGGCUGCUAGAGUCAAGGAGCUGUUAGUUGACUGUUACAAACCCACCGAGGCCUUCAUCAAUGACCUGCUAGACAAGAUCCGGGGCAUGCAGAAGCUGACCAUACCCCUGAAGAACUAAAAAAAAGGUACUGACUCGGAUGACCUUGGCUCCCACAGGACAAUCGCUGUCCCCCAACGUCGUAGCAACAGCAAUACUAGGUAACCCUGCAGCCAAGCCUGGUGCCAUGAGCAGGGAUCCUAUUGUCCCUGCCCAGGGGCCACUUCUCUUGCCCUCAGUUUUCCAUUUUGGUUUUUUAUUUUUAUUUUUGAUUGUUAUUAAACUGAUGGGACUUUGAAAACGAAGAACCACACAAGGACCAUAAGUAGAGAAUUGUAACUUUGGUAAUUAACAUUCUUUUCUCCCUAACCUCUGUGAGUCACAUCACCUGAAAACUGCUAAGUUUGAAAUCAUGAGCAGUGUGUGGUCCUUUUUCUAAAUGAAACCUCCUUCAAUUUCUCUAGGGAUUAAGGAGUAAUAUAUUUUAAAAGUAUAACUGUCAACAAGUGAAUCAUACCCAUAAAAAUGCUAAUUUCAUUUGUUUGGGUGAUCUAUCAGUUCAGUAGAUUUGUAAAAUGACAGUCUACAACGCGAUGGUAGAAAAUGCUGAAGGACAGUGAUGUCCUUGUCUCCAGGGAGCAAAGCCCCGUGACAUGUGACCAGGGGAGAAAGUACACAUGCAGAAGAGGGAGGAGCAAGGGAGGACAGAAUGAAGGACUUGGAGCUGCUGUCAUCCCUUCUUCUCUCUGAAGGAGGAGUUAAAAUCAUCCCCCUGCCCACCCACCUCAGAGGAUGGAGAACCAGGAAAUCUACCCUUCCAGGACCCAGAGCGAUUCCAAGGCACUUCCUGCUAAACUUAACUUCCACCUGGCAGCCUUGCCAUUGCUCAGUGCCUGGCUAGUACUCUCCAGCUGGCUUCGAGGCUUGGCCCAUCAUUUCCCAAUCCACAGCCAGGACCUGAGCUAAAGCCAGGAUAUCAUCCCAGGCUUGCUGGGGUUAGCAAUGUCGGAUGAAUGUUUCAGCUUCUCCUGUUCUGAGUCUAAACAACAGCCUGCAGCUUUUAAAGACCAUGAAGCUGUUUUCCUGCCUGCUAUGGAGACACAGGGAAUUGGUAUCCUACAUCUUUGGGUUUGAAUUCUGUUCCUGUCACUUACUGGCUUUGCAAGUCCAGGCAAAUCACAAAACCGUUUCAAGCGUUUGUUUUGCUCCUGUUAAAUAACAAAGACCCACCUCAUAUGGUGAGAAGUUACCUCCAGUACACCAAGAGCUGGCAACAAUUCCCAUUUCUUUUGUUGGGCCCCCCCCCCCCCCGCCUCUGUUCUUACAAGUUUUGUUACUUUCAGCUCAUUUUCUUCAUUGAAUGGGGACAAGGAAGGCAGUAAUAAAAAUGUACAUUUACAGUUGUUUAGAAAAUAAAAUUAAUAAG